GACGAACGCUGGCGGCGUGCUUAACACAUGCAAGUCGAACGAUGAACCGGAGCUUGCUCUGGGGAUUAGUGGCGAACGGGUGAGUAACACGUGGGCAACCUGCCCCAGACACCGGGAUAACCAUUCGAAAGGAUGGCUAAUACCGGAUACGACCACUUCGGGCAUCCGAUGGUGGUGGAAAGGAUUCUGGUCUGGGAUGGGCCCGCGGCCUAUCAGCUUGCUGGUGGGGUAAUGGCCUACCAAGGCGACGACGGGUAGCCGGCCUGAGAGGGCGGCCUGCCACACUGGGAAUGAGACACGGCCCAGACUCCGACGGGAGGGAGCAGUGGGGAAUAUUGCGCAAUGGGCGAAGGCCGGACGCAGCGACGCCGCGUGAGGGACGAAGGUCUUCGGAUUGUAAACCUCUUUCAGCAGGGAUGAAGCGAAAGUGACAGUACCUGCAGAAGAAGCACCGGCUAACUACGUGCCAGCAGCCGCAGUAAUAC
rnacentral:rRNA from 1 species